AUUGAACGCUGGCGGCAGGCCUAACACAUGCAAGUCGAACGGUAACAGGAAGAAGCUUGCUUCUUUGCUGACGAGUGGCGGACGGGUGAGUAAUGUCUGGGAAACUGCCUGAUGGAGGGGGAUAACUACUGGAAACGGUAGCUAAUACCGCAUAAUGUCGCAAGACCAAAGAGGGGGACCUUCGGGCCUCUUGCCAUCGGAUGUGCCCAGAUGGGAUUAGCUAGUAGGUGGGGUAACGGCUCACCUAGGCGACGAUCCCUAGCUGGUCUGAGAGUAUGACCAGCCACACUGGAACUGAGACACGGUCCAGACGCCUACGGGAGGCAGCAGUGGGGAAUAUUGCACAAUGGGCGCAAGCCUGAUGCAGCUAUGCCGCGUGUAUGAAGAAGGCCUUCGGGUUGUAAAGUACUUUCAGCGGAGAGGAAGGGAGUAAAGUUAAUACCUUUGCUCAUUGACGUUACCCGCAGAAGAAGCACCGGCUAACUCCGUG
rnacentral:rRNA from 1 species